GUGAGGAAUAUUGGGCAAUGGGCGAAAGCCUGAUCCAGCCAUGCCGCGUGCAGGAUGAAGGCCUUCGGGUUGUAAACUGCUUUUGUACGGAACGAAAAGACUUCUUCUAAUACAGGAGGUCCAUGACGGUACCGUAAGAAUAAGCACCGGCUAACUACGUGCCAGCAGCCGCGGUAAUACGUAGGGUGCAAGCGUUAAUCGGAAUUACUGGGCGUAAAGCGUGCGCAGGCGGUUAUAUAAGACAGAUGUGAAAUCCCCGGGCUCAACCUGGGAACUGCAUUUGUGACUGUAUAGCUAGAGUACGGUAGAGGGGGAUGGAAUUCCGCGUGUAGCAGUGAAAUGCGUAGAUAUGCGGAGGAACACCGAUGGCGAAGGCAAUCCCCUGGACCUGUACUGACGCUCAUGCACGAAAGCGUGGGGAGCAAACAGGAUUAGAUACCCUUGUAGUCC
rnacentral:rRNA from 1 species